ACUCCUACGGGAGGCAGCAGUAGGGAAUCUUCCACAAUGGACGAAAGUCUGAUGGAGCAACGCCGCGUGAGUGAUGAAGGUUUUCGGAUCGUAAAACUCUGUUGUUAAAGAAGAACAAGUGUUAGAGUAACUGUUAACACUUUGACGGUAU
rnacentral:rRNA from 1 species